CGAGCACGCGCGUGUGGCAUAUCAAUAAGCGGAGGAAAAGAAACUAACAAGGAUUCCCUUAGUAACGGCGAGUGAAGCGGGAAGAGCUCAAAUUUGAAAUCUUCAAGGUUCUACCUUGACGAAUUGUAGUUUAAAGAAGUGUUUUCUGUUGGAGUUUUGGUAAAAGUUCUUUGGAAUAGGACAUCAUAGAGGGUGAGAAUCCCGUAUUUGACCAUUAUUUCCAGCUUUGUGAUACACUUUCAAAGAGUCGGAUUGUUUGGGAAUGCAGUCCAAAAUGGGUGGUAAAUUUCAUCUAAAGCUAAAUAUUGGCGAGAGACCGAUAGCGAACAAGUACCGUGAGGGAAAGAUGAAAAGAACUUUGAAAAGAGAGUUAAACAGUACGUGAAAUUGUCAAAAGGGAGGCGUUUGACACCAGUGUUGUUUUUCCGAAAAUCAAUUACGAAUGUUUUGUUUUUGAGGAAGUUAUGACUUCAUCGGCUUGCUUCUCUUCUUUAUGAAACUUUCUUAAUGCACUUUUCGGUAACAAGUCAACAUCAAUUUCUUUUGUUGUAAAAGGGUACUGAGGAAGGUGGCUUUCUUUUCGGAGAAAGUGUUUAUAGCCUUGUACCUCUGCAAUCGGAGAGAUUGAGGUCUGCAGCGUAGAUCCUUCGGGGUUAGAUACGUUUGUGCUAAGUUAUAGCUUUUCAUAGACAACUUGUUGACUAUGUUUAGUCUUGUAGCUUACUCGCUGACGCUAUUUUACCUACGCUUAGGAUGUUGAUGUGAUACUGCGAGCA
rnacentral:rRNA from 1 species